UGUCCAGCAACUCCUAUCCCUACCUCCUCGCGGUACUGACCGGGGUACGAGUAACCUUAGGGAAGA
rnacentral:ribozyme from 1 species